AGAACUUUCCAGAGAUGGAUUGGUGCCUUCGGGAACUCUGAGACAGGUGCUGCAUGGCUGUCGUCAGCUCGUGUUGUGAAAUGUUGGGUUAAGUCCCGCAACGAGCGCAACCCUUAUCCUUUGUUGCCAGCGGUUAGGCCGGGAACUCAAAGGAGACUGCCAGUGAUAAACUGGAGGAAGGUGGGGAUGACGUCAAGUCAUCAUGGCCCUUACGAGUAGGGCUACACACGUGCUACAAUGGCGCAUACAAAGAGAAGCGACCUCGCGAGAGCAAGCGGACCUCAUAAAGUGCGUCGUAGUCCGGAUUGGAGUCUGCAACUCGACUCCAUGAAGUCGGAAUCGCUAGUAAUCGUGGAUCAGAAUGCCACGGUGAAUACAUUCCCGGGCCUUGUACACACCGCCCGUCACACCAUGGGAGUGGGUUGCAAAAGAAGUAGGUAGCUUAACCUUCGGGAGGGCGCUUACCACUUUGUGAUUCAUGACUGGGGUGAAGUCGUAACAAGGUAAGCGUAGUGCU
rnacentral:rRNA from 1 species